UAGUAAUGGCAGGUCAGCAUACUGCCGUGAAUACGUUCCCGGGCCUUGUACACACCGCCCGUCACACCAUGAGAGUUGGGGAUACCCAAAGCCCGUGAGCCAACUUUUAGAGGCAGCGGUCUAAGGUAGAAUCAAUGAUUGGGGUGAAGUCGUAACAAGGUAGC
rnacentral:rRNA from 1 species